rnacentral:rRNA from 1 species
AUUGAACGCUGGCGGCAGGCUUAACACAUGCAAGUCGAGCGGGGAAGGUUGCUUCGGUAACUGACCUAGAGGCGGACGGGUGAGUAGUGCUUAGGAAUCUGCAUAUUAGCGGGCGACAACGUUCCGAAAGGAAUGCUAAUACCCCUUACGCCCUACGGGGGAAUGCAGCGGCGCGUCGCACUCUGCGCUAAUAGAUGAUCCUCAGUCGGAUUAGCGAGUUGGUGGGGUAAAGGCCUACCAAGGCGACGAUCUGUAGCGGGACUGAGAGGAUGGUCCGCCACACUGGGACUGAGACACGGCCCAGACUCCUACGGGAGGCAGCAGUGGGGAAUAUUGGACAAUGGGCGCAAGCCUGAUCCAGCCAUGCCGCGUGUGUGAAGAAGGACUUUUGGUUGUAAAGCACUUUAAGCGAGGAGGAGGCUCCUUUAGUUAAUACCUAAAGUGAGUGGACGUUACUCGCAGAAUAAGCACCGGCUAACUCUGUGCCAGCAGCCGCCGUAACAC